CCAGUCGCUGCCAGCGUGCGUCCGCGGGAGCUGCGGGGGUGUCACGGGGGUCAAGGUUACGUGGCGCCACCUGUGCGCGGAACGGCGUAGGUGCUGUGCCCCGGGAUCGCUGGGGCGCGGGCGCAGGCGGCAACCGGCGCGCCCGGGAAGCCGCGCUCUCCUCUCCCGCGCGGAGUCUGGGCGGCCGUUGGAGGGAACAAAAGGGAAAGCGAAAGAGACCCUGGCUUCGCAGCCCCGCCCCCAGGUCCUCCUCGCCCCACUCUGCCCCGCCCUCCCCUGUGCGCCACCGGGAGAGCCCCCAGACCUGCCCGACGCGAACGGGGAUUGGGGUGCAGCCUACAGCAAAUGGAGAGCGACCCUGUUUAGUGCAGGCGGGCGCAGCGCCGGUGGAGGCAGUGCGGUGCGUGCUGCGUCCAGCUCCCUCCGCCGGCCCGCAAGUCCGCGCGGAAUUGCCGGCGCCCUCCAGCGGCCCUGACUUCGGGGUCUACCCCAGCCCCACCCGCCUCCCGGGGUCCAGGUGUGCCGCAACUGAGUUCAGAGACACAGCUCCAGAGGAGGGACGGACUCAGAACGCCCUAAUCUGCCACCCAGUGAGAGCCCCGCAGAGCUGCCCUAAGAGGCCUGUCCCCCGUGGUGACAGACCGCUCCGUGACCCUACCCCGAGGAGCUUCCAAUCGGGAGGUGAGGGCCGUUGGUGCGGAUUUGCGCCGCCGCAACCUCAGGACACGUGAGCCACAUGGAAAUCAGCUCCCCAUCCGGGGGCCCUCUCGUACCUGCUUCCUUGGUUCCCAGGGCCCUGCUGCCCCGCUCUCUGUCAGGUGCUGCCGGGCCCUGCUUGAGCCCGCAUCUGAAUCAUUUGAGCCGUGAACCACAGCCCACCGCUCUCCUGGUUGGGUCUUAAAUUGCCCAGGAGUUUGGAUCUGGGCAGCCAUUCACGACUGCUGCCAGGGAGGAGGAGGGACUUCUGCCCCCCACCCCCACCCCCAAUUCUCCAGGAAUCCCUGAUCCCCUUUAGAAACCAAGAUCUGGUGCCGGGCGUGUUCACCGCGACAGUUGUGUCUUGCCGCUAGGCCUUGUCGGCAGACAGAACUAGGAGAUUUCCGUCUCUAGAUCUCACACUGCUCUAUGUGGAGUCCUUCCCUGCCUUUCCGCGGGGGUCUGGCUGGGUCCCCUGAAGUAGCAGGCCUGGGAGUGGAGAGCGCAGGGAGCUCCCGGGCCAGAAGGCCCUAGCACACCCCACAACCCUCUCCCUCCCUGCCUUCCUUGCUGGUUGCUGAUAUGAUGCCUCUGGUUGAACCCUGGGACUCUUCUGUUCCCUCAGAGCGCUCUGGCUGGCAAGCACCGGUGUUCCAGGAGCCUCCUCGCCUGGGGUCCUCACUCCCACCUCCUCAGCCCACCCUUUGCCUCCUAUCGCAGCUCCAGCCUCCUUCCCUUCCUCGGGCAGGUCCUCUCCUUUACCUCUCUUGGGCCAGAGGCCACUCUGUGGGCUUUACCCCACUGCCCAUCUCUCAUGCACACCCUGGCAAGGACCCCCAUCCUGGCCUCCAGUCCUCAGUUUCCUGCACUAUCCACAGGCCCCUCCCCUUAGUCUGCAGGUUACCCCUGGUGGAGUCCCAUUUUACACGCCCGCCCUCUGCUGCUCCCUUGGGCUUUCCCAUUCUGCCUGCGCUCUGCCCCUGCCCCUGCAGCAGGUGGGUUCUGCCGGCUCCAGCUCUGAGGCUCGGAACCCUGUGGAGCCUUAGGAAUCGGCCACAUCUCCCUGGGCUGCCCCUCGCUAGGAUUUGGGUGGUCUUGUGAAUAGAGCACUGGACUCCUGGCUCGGCUCAGCCAAAGUGACGCCUGACCGCUGGCAGACGUACCUGGAGCCCUGUGCUCAGCACCCCCGCUGCACGGUCACUAGAGCCUCCCCACGAGUGGGCGAGCUCCUGGAGCGCAGAGACCGUCUGAUAUAAACUUGGCUGUGUAAAAUAAAAUGACUUAAGUGCUCAGCCCAAGAAUGAGGAAUAAAGCAAACCAAAAGGAAGCAGAAGGAAAGAAAGAGCUGAACCGAGGAAACAGAAUCCUAAGGAUCAACAGAGGAUCAGCAAGAAAACCCCGCGAGCGCACCGAAGCCCCGCCUUCCCCUGCGGAGGGAAACUCCCGCCUGCGACCCCGCGUCCGCGACGGCAGCAAGGCCUGACGUCACCGAGACCGGGCCAAUGGGCUCGGCGUGUUCGCGAGAUAAGUAGCGAAGCUGCAGAAGUCGUAAAUAACCGCAAACGGCAUCUGGAGGCGUUAAAAACACGAGGGUGGGGCGCCUGGGGGGCUCAGCUGGUUAAGCGUGGGACUUCGGCUCAGGUCAUGAUCUCACGGCUCAUGAGUUCAAGCCCCACGUUAGCUCAGAGCCUGGAUCCUGUUUUGGAUUCUGUGUCCCCCCCCCACCCCCGCUGCCCCUCCCACACCUGAUCGCGCGCCCUCUUUCUUCCCCUCUCUCAAAAACAAAAACACCAGGAUACAGUGCGGUUUAUGAUCAGAAUACCUUCUCAUGUGUCCUUCCGAAAUGGUAAAAGGGAGGGAGGGAAAACUCGUGUGAUCUUUUCAAUGAAAGGCAGAAAAUACAUUCAUAAAAGUAUUCAUGAUUAAGAAACCCCCCCAAAGGUGUCAAUGAAUGAGGAAGAGGAAAAACUUAACCUGAUGUGGCAGGUGCUGAAGCUGCCUCAUCAGGCUUCCGUCCUAGUGUUUCUAGUGCUUUUCGGAAGCUGAAAGCCUUUUCCAGACUCGCCUGUGGCUUAGGGACCUCUGCGACCUGGGCUUCUGCCCAGCAGGGCCCGUGAGUGGAACUUGCAGGCGGAUGCGGAUGCCGGGAGACAGUGGUGCCCAGGAGGAGCAGGGGUCCCCGAGAGUGCAGUGCCUAUGACCCUGGUUCUUCAGGGGCAGCCAUACCAACUUCUGUGCCCAGUCUUGUGUCCUCACCUAAACAUGUACAAUAAACCUCUUUCUGUUUACAUCA